GUUCGGGAGUGCUCUAUGGUUAUCGACGUCCAAAUAACCUAUAACGCCCGAGAUUGCCAAAUAUAGCCUAUUUGUACUGCAAGAAAUUACGUCUUCAACAAAACUUAUUCAUACGAUUACCCAGACUGAGACUGAAGGGAUCAAAGAUUCAUUAAACGGUUAUACACUGCAUGAAGCAAAGAGGAUACUGAAUAGCCACCUGGUGAAGACUGAAGACACAAGAUGGGAAAGCACAAACAUGUCUGUGUAAAAUACAAAUAAAUAUUUAGCCAUAGGUACCUGCAGAUAUAUUUUAUAAGGAAUAAAUGUUUAUAAAAGCUCAGCGCCCACUGAUGCUUGAGUGUGGAGUCUAUGUUGUUGAAAAGACAUGAGAAAUAGAAGUCAUGAAGAUGAAUGAAGAUGGCGAUCAAGUCUCUUUCCUAAAAUUUCUGAGGAAAAAGGUGUUGUCUAGAUCAUCUAGUGAUCAUUCCAUUGGCAAACUACCAGGUUCCAAUCUGAAGUAUACGUAGGAAGAGUAAAAUCUUUUUCAUUCAUAUAAACACUUACUAGCUGUGAUCCAGCAGAAUGUUCUGAUUGUUUUGUCCUACAUAAGAUGAAUUUAAAUCUGACACAUUAUACUGAAAAAUUGAGUGAACUGUCUUCUUCAUGCAGGCAUGUCUUUGUUACAACAUCUCUACUCUGCAUGGUUAUCAUAACUUCAAACUCUAGUGAAUUAUGUAACCAGUUACCUAUAAAAACAUCAUUUUGUAAUUAGUAAUAAAAGUAUUUAAUCAAAUAUUCUAUGCUUCAGUCAUUAUUACAUUUUUGAUCACUGUUUGUUUAUUCUUUCAAAUGGUG